UGAGGCCCCGUAAUCGGAAUGAGUACACUUUAAAUCCUUUAACAAGGAUCCAUUGGAGGGCAAGUCUGGUGCCAGCAGCCGCGGUAAUUCCAGCUCCAAUAGCGUAUAUUAAAGUUGUUGCGGUUAAAAAGCUCGUAGUUGGUUCUGCGUGCCGCGCUGUCGGUUCGCCGCCUGUCGGUGUAACUGGCAUGUCGCGGCAUGUCCUGUCGGUGGUGAACGGAGUCCACGACGCUACAUGGGCUUUAUAGUCGAUGUUAGCAUCGUGUGUACUUCCGUUGGCCGAUCUCUCCUACUUCGGUGCUCUUAAACGAGUGUCGAGGUAGGCCGACACGUUCACUUUGAACAAAUUAGAGUGCUUAAAGCAGGCUGAAAUAUCUGCCUGAAUAGUGGUGCAUGGAAUGAUAAAACAGGACCUCGGUUCUAUUUUGUUGGUUUUAGGAAUAUGAGGUAAUGAUCAAUGUGGACUGGCGGGGGCAUUCGUAUUGCGACGUUAGAGGUGAAAUUCUUGGAUCGUCGCAAGACGCACUAGAGCGAAAGCAUUUGCCAAGUAUGUCUUAAUUGAUCAAGAACGAAAGUUAGAGGUUCGAAGGCGAUCAGAUACCGCCCUAGUUCUAACCAUAAACGAUGCCAGCCAGCGAUCCGCCGAUGUUCCUUUAAUGACUCGGCGGGGAGCUUCCACCCGGGAAACCAAAGCUUUUGGGUUCCGGGGGAAGUAUGGUUGCAAAGCUGAAACUUAAAGGAAUUGACGGAA
rnacentral:rRNA from 1 species